AGAGAUGCUUCAGAAAAGAGCAUUUCAUGGUUGCUAGGCAACCAUUCAUGUGCAUUUGCAGCUCCCCAGUGAAUAACAUCUUCAUCCCAGGCUAGAAAAUUGCUUCCCUUUUACAGGCGUUUCUCUCAGACCUGGAUCCCAUGGCAGGCAGUCCUGCCACCUUGAUCCUAAACCUGUCCUGACCCUCAGUGGUGAAAUCAGGAAGUAACGACACCUGGGCAGGUGGGCGGAGCCUCGCACCACCAUCGCUACUGGUUCUCCAAACCACCUGCCACAAUUGCUACUGGAUCACCUGAUCCGGUCUGAACCGGGAGCAUUUCACCCCUGCUGACCCUCCAUCCAGGCCAAACCUAAACUAGGUGGCGUCACAGAGAUGAGUCCACUUUCUGGAUCAGUCUGCAACAGAGGAAGACAAGUAUUGCAUCCAGAAUGCUUAAUCCAUUCAGAUGCUAAGUAACUUCCAUCAGUCCUGCUGUUAAAGCAAUGGAGCACAUCUCAUCUCUGCUUUGCUUUGCCUUUCAAUGGGUCCCACUCAGCAGCUCUUAAGCCCCAGCUAGGAAGAAGAGAUUCUGGGAUCCUGUGGAGGAGGGCAGUCGGGAACCCCUCUUCAAAGUUCGGAUCCCAGAGACAAUCAACUCUAGAUGACUCAGGAAGGUAUGACGCCUAGCUCUGAAAAAGGAAAUGCAUUGCAAUCUAAAAUCACCCAGACCAAUGUAAAAUCAGCAUGUGCCUAAUUAAUAAAUAGAGGUACAAAUUGGGAAA